GUGCCCUUGGCCGAGCCGGCGAGGCACCGGCCCCCCACGCCGGACAGGCGGGUUCGACACCCGCAAGGCACU
rnacentral:tRNA from 1 species